GCCUAGGACUCUGAACAUGCUACGAAGUUGCAUUUAAUCUCUCCCCUUCCCCACCAUUCUUAAAUCUUAAGACUGAAACCGAAACCGGAGUAGCAGCCUUGAUUUUCUGACUAAUCCUUCCUUAUCAGACUCUUUGAGAACUAAAGUAGCUGGAAAUUCUGUCUGCAAGUAUUGAAGCAUAGUCGACCCCAGGCUCAGCUAAAUCCAAGCUUCAUACUUUUGAUGCUAAUGCCAUAUAUAGUUCGUGAUGAUCGAUCGAGCAUCUCUGCGAUACCCGUAUACAAGUACUUUACUUCUCCGUAUACAGGGUAUGAGUAGAUUCGGACCUUCAACCCAUAGGGAAGAAAAUAUAGUCUUGACCAAUUGAGUUAUACUUGUACCAGCAUACAAGUAGUGGAGUUUAAGACAAUCAAGUAAGAAUGAAAUUUAUAACUACGGGAAAAAACCUGUCAUCUCAGUUAUAGUUUGAACUUUCGAAUUUAUAGAGUAAGCUGUUGUUUGAAGAUUAAAAUAAAUCGAAAGGAAAUAGGAAAUA